rnacentral:rRNA from 1 species
GACGAACGCUGGCGGCGUGCUUAACACAUGCAAGUCGAACGAUGACGACCGAGCUUGCUCGGUCUGAUUAGUGGCGAACGGGUGAGUAACACGUGAGCAACCUGCCCUUCACUCUGGGAUAACCUCGGGAAAUCGGGGCUAAUACCGGAUAUGAGCUCCUGUCGCAUGGCGGGUGUUGGAAAGUUUUUCGGUGAAGGAUGGGCUCGCGGCCUAUCAGUUUGUUGGUGAGGUAGUGGCUCACCAAGGCGAUGACGGGUAGCCGGCCUGAGAGGGCGACCGGCCACACUGGGACUGAGACACGGCCCAGACUCCUACGGGAGGCAGCAGUGGGGAAUAUUGCACAAUGGGCGAAAACCUGAUGCAGCGACGCCGCGUGAGGGAUGACGGCCUUCGGGUUGUAAACCUCUUUCAGCAGGGAAGAAGCGAAAGUGACGGUACCUGCAGAAGAAGCGCCGGCUAACUACGUG